CUCGUUUCGGGCAAAAGGCGACAUUCCCAGUUGGUGUCUUACGUCGCCUUUCGUGUGCGGCUUGGAAAGGGCCUGGCAGCCAAUGCGGGCCUUUUAGCAGACCCUCAUACCUUUUCCUAAUGGGGCCUCUUCUGAGUGAAACUUCAUGAUAGGAGCGGAAUCUAAGUAUACUUACUCAAAAGGUUAGAGGAGUGCUCACAUCAUUGAUAAAGAAAGUAGGGAACUGUAAACAAGGCAGCAGACUAUCUCCACUGUGAAGGUGAAGAACAAAGAAGACCAAAGAUGCGACCUGAUUGCAGCUCCACCCAGCACCUCUUCAUCUAUUCAUAUUUGCCUGUUAUUCUGUGCAGGAGAUAGACAAGAGGCCUGAAGAAGAUCCCAGCCUGAAUCAUCUCCCUGGGAUAACCUUUUACAUUUUAACAUCUAGCUUUAUGAAGAGGUCUAAAGAACUUAAAAGUUUGCACAUACUUUUAUGUUUAAUUGGUCCUAA